GAUAUGUCUUACUAGCUCAGGAUAGACUUAAAAUGAUUCCUGUUUUCCUGUCAUUGCUUUGAGAGGAGUAGUUCUUGACCUGAAGAAGGAAAUUUGGCUUUUUCAUUUAUCAUAGUUCAACCCAUGAAUGAAAAUGUUCUAAUCAUUUUGCUCUUGUAGGACCCUAAUAUUUCAUAGUGUUACGAGUAAAAACAGUUGUGACUUAUUUUCUUUUCUCUUUAUUUUACUGAGCAGACACCAAGCUGGAUGGUUUCCUUUUAGGCAAGAAGGAGUUCAGCAACAGGCUCCCAACAAUAAUGCCGAAGUUAACAAUGAUGUACAGAAUGCAAACAAUCUAGAACUUGAAGAAAUGGAGCGUCUUAUGGAUGAUGGGCUUGAAGAUGAGAGUGGAGAAGAUGCAGGUGAAGAUGCCAGUGCGAUUCAAAGGCCUGGAUUAAUGGCGUCAGCCUGGUCUUUUAUCACCACAUUCUUUACUUCACUAAUACCAGAGGGGCCUCCCCAGGUUGCCAAUUAGACUUGAAAAACUGUGCCAGCUGCAAAGGAGGGUCUGAAUUUAGGAAAGUGUUUUAAAUAACAGUGCAAUUUCAAAAAAAUUUAUUACUUUCUUUUCAUCAUCAUGUACAGAGGUGUUUUUUUCUUUAAACUUCUCAUGCAUAUGAAUAUUUUAAGCACAAAUAGACUACUAAAUGUGUGAUUUUUUUUUUUUUUUUAAGAUCCUAACAGAACAUAGCUUAACAAUAUUGGUCUUCCAGGUUUUAUUAAUUUCAAUUAUGUAUAUUGUAUCAAGACACACUUGUGUGUCUUAUUUCUUUAAAGAGCUGCUUCACAUAUAAAUGUCUAUAGCUUAUAGCCCAGCCCUUCAAUGUAUAAUUUGAAUAAAUAUAUCUAUUUUCUGUGAAUUAUCCUAAAAGUUUUAAACAGAAUGACCUCAUAGUUUUUAAUGAAGAAUAUUAAUUACCUAAAAUGUGCUAGUAGCAUCUUGCCCAGUCAUAAAGCAAUAAACUUCUCAAUAAUCUUCAUUUUGACAUUUGAAUAAAUGGAAACUUUCUAUUUUAAGGGCAUGUGUCCCAUCAAUUGGAAUUAGUACUUUUAAAAAAAAGGCAGCUCUUCAGUGGAAUUAAUAGUGAUAUAAAAUAUUUGAUAUAGGCAGUACUUUUAUAAAAUAAGAUUCUGGAAAUCACUCCCUGUAAUUUUUUUAAAAAUAAAAGGUCAAUUAUGGUAAAA